UACGGGGGGAGCAAGCGUUGUUCGGAUUUACUGGGCGUAAAGGGCGCGUAGGCGGCCAGGGCAAGUCAGUUGUGAAAUCUCCGAGCUUAACUCGGAAAGGUCAACUGAUACUGCUCGGCUAGAGUGCGGAAGGGGCAACUGGAAUUCUUGGUGUAGCGGUGAAAUGCGUAGAUAUCAAGAGGAACACCUGCGGCGAAGGCGGGUUGCUGGGCCGACACUGACGCUGAGGCGCGAAAGCUAGGGGAGCGAACGGG
rnacentral:rRNA from 1 species